CAUGUUACCAAACAGGUAUCUCGUAGGAGACGGAUUGGAGUUCCAAUAGAACAGCAUGCAGAGACAAUUUACACAAGGGCGAUGCAUGAACGCUUCUACAACGAGCUUUACGAAUCAGGUUCAUUCGCAAUAGUGGAGAAGAGAAUACAGAAAGAGAGAUUUACAGUGGUGCACACCAAGCUAGGAGAUAGGGUCCAUAGGGAGACCCGCUUCCAAAGCCGAUCCGCACCUGGAAUUUGCUUGUGGACCGAUUCGGGUCGACCCGCAGCAAAAGAGGAGCAAAAGAGUCGUAACCCUAUCGACCCCCGGUGAACCUUGGGUCGACCCUCCGACUCCGUCGUCACUCUCCUCCGCCGUCACCGUCACCGUCACUGCCGCCGCCGCCGCCGCCGCCGCCGCUCCUCCUCCUCCGCCACUUCCCUUACCCUAUCCUGGAUUCCGCGCACGAGUACCAAUCGUCUCUUUGAAACCCUACCUCCCUGCCCAUCGCGGAUCUGACGAGCCGUAUCGCCAAGGGCCGCUCAACAUCCUCUCUCUCACGGUAAACAGAAAUGGAGCCGGAGAGCUCAGCUUUGUAGGAACCGCAUGCAGAUAUAGACAAAGAUGUUUCUUGCAUGUUCAUUGUAAAAGAACAUCUACUGACAUUUGGGCAAGUAAAAUGGUAUUGAAUACUGUUAAGUAUAGCAUCACUUACUGAUCUGCAAGUAAAUCUCAUAACACCGAGGACACUUCUAUACAAAUUUAUAUCUCACUUAUACAAAACCAACAUGGAAAAAGAUAGAGACAGUUAUUAUAUUUCCUACUUGCUUAUCUAUUACAUGGCAAGAUUUGUUUCCUCUUAUAGCCCGAGAUUUGAUUCAGUCAUGCCUAACUCUACAGUUUACAGUUUCAUUCGGUUCACUGGCUAAUUCUAUGCAAGUUCUCUACUGCAGCAGUCGAUGAUUUGAUUAUGGAAGAGGAUCAAGCGUGAAGUUCACAUGUAGGCGGAUCGGUUCUUACAAUCUUGAUAAAGCUGAAGGUAUUCCUCAAUGUGUAGCAUGGUGUUGCAGCAAAUGGGCAGCUGGAGUAGGUAUUUUAGUUGUAGCUGCUCCGAAAUGAUAGCUUGUAUUUUAGAUAUUGUAAGGCUCCAGGAGACCAGGAGCACUUGCCAGUACAAAAUAGUUUAUUUGUUUUUACUGAAUCUUAUAGCUGAACGUAUUUCAGUGUGGUUUGUAGGAAUGUUUUGUCUUGAUGCUAGAGAAGCAGCAAGAGCCAGCAAAAUAAUGACAAUAUAUUAGUUUAUUAGUAGCUUAUGAUGAUGCUAUUAGCUAGCCUUGGUAUGGUUUUGUUAGCAUCUCUUGAAAUAGGAUUAGUCGAUUGGAGACCUGGAAUUUUGGGUUCUGUUUCAUGGCUUUGUGAAGAUGUUUAUGUACUAGUAGUGCUUUUGUUUUAUCCAGUCAUCCGCACGGGAGCAAGUAGCAUAGCAGCAGCCUGCGGCCACCAACAGCGACGUAUACGCGGCCUCAUAGGAAGCUAGCAGCAGUCUGCGGCCACUAACAGCGACGUAUACGCAUGUGGGCUAGCGAGGUUCGGCCCCCGGAUAACCGCGGAUCGUCUUGGCACGACUCGUGAUCCUCGUUUCUGGCUGACGGAGCGGAGGGUCGACAUUAGGUGCGCUCCGCUCCACCCCAUUUGCAGUUUGAUGCAAGAGUGCACGUGGUGCGACUGGCGGGGGCAGAGAAAGUAACAUGCACCUGUGGGCUCUAUGAGCAUGUAGGUUUGUUGUGCAGGCAUAGCUUGAAGGUGCUGGUGCAUUUGGACAGAACAGAGAUACCGCCCGGUAACAUCAUGUACAGGUGGACCAAGCAUGCAGGGCCAGAGUACAGUCCGUGCACAAGGGAGUUGAUGAUGGAUCAGGUAUCGGCGAGAGUUGAUGGCACGAAGAGUCACGUUAAGAGGGCACUAGAGUUUGCACAUGGGGAUGACCCGAUUGAUGAUGAAGCAUUUGCAGAAGCUAUGAGAGCUAUGGACGCGAUCGUGCCUAGAAAGGAUCAUUCAGUAAGCUCCUUCCGUGAGCAUGGGGGUGAGGUGAAAACAUCAGGACCGAGCCUGGGGAAUGCAGAGUCCAUGCCAACAGGGCGCCCGCGUAACACCUCACUGAAAUCUUGGCAGAAACAUGAAAUAAGUGUCAAGAAAGUUAGCUCUACCGAAAGGCCAGAUAACAUCCUCGACAUCAAUGACGAAGAAGGCAACAUUGCUGCUAAGACGAGAAAAGUAGAUGAAUUGAUGCGUAUGAACUGAUGAAAAAGUUACUAUGUGCUAAAUGUGGCCUGCAGAAGAACGACAAGCUAUCUUUGCUUGUGUGAUUCUAUUGUUAGCAGUAUUCGUGUGUAAAUUUUUGUGCACCAUUGCUUUAAAUCUGUUCAGUUA